AUGGCGUCCCGCCGCCUAAGCAACGGCCGCUCCCCUCUCGUGGGGAAGCAGAGCCAGANNNNNNNNNNNNNNNNNNNNNNNUCCCCUUCCCCCUCCGCCUCCACCCCGAAGCCCGCCGCAGAACCCUCCCCGUCGCCGCUGAACCCUAAGGCGAGGAAGCCCCCUCUCGUCGUGCCCUCCCCUCCCCCACCAAAGCCGUCUCCGUCUCCGCCGCCGCAGCUGCAGCAGGAGAAGAAGAAACAUGAUGCAGCGGCGGCGCCUGCGGGAGAGGCGGUGGGGCGGCGGCUGCGGGUGUACUGGCCGCUGGACGACGCGUGGUACGAGGGCACGGUGGAUGCCUACGACGGGGGCUCCCGCCGGCACCGCGUGAAGUACGACGAUGGGGAGGAGGAGGAGGUCGACCUCGUCAAGGAGAAAUUCGAGUGGGCCGCCGAGGAGGCAACGCCGCCGGCCAGGAAGCUGCGACGUCUUCGGAGGAUGUCUGACACCGCAAAGGCGAAGUCGCCGUCUGUGCAGGAGGAUGAGGAGACUGGGGAUUCCACUGAGGACGAGGACUGGAAGAAGGAUGCUGCUCCAGAGGAUGAUUCUGAGGGGGAGGAAGUGGAGUUGGACGACGAAGAGGAAGAGGUUGUUGCGGUCAGUUCGCGAAAGGGGAAAUCAAGGAACUCCUUGUCCACGUCUGCUUCAGUGUCCACACUGCGGUCAACGUCUGGUCUUGGCUCAGCAUCGUUAGGGUCAACGUUAUCAAAGAAGAGGAAACAAGUGGAUGUAGGUGCAUUGGAUUGUGCUAAGAAGUUCAGCUUUCAACCAGCUAACACCCCUGAAAAGGCUGAAAUGAAGGUGCCACCGAGCUGUGAUAGGAGAGAGGAUUUUAGAGAAUGCUCACCUUGCUCUUACUGGAGACCUGUCUGA
rnacentral:rRNA from 1 species